GGAGAUGUCAGCAGUGUAAUGAUAGGCUACCAGCCAGGCCCCAGGAGUAUGGCUAGGUCGGCUGCCUACUCACUGUUACAGCGGUCAGUAUACACGAACACGUACCGACCCGCAAUCUAUCUAGUGAUAAGACAGUUAGCGCGUCAAGGUACGCACCAAGCUACACUAUAUAAGGAGAAUUGUUGUUCUCAUAAAGAUACGCACACAUUGGCUAUCUGAGUUUAUAUACACUUUCUCUCUCUACAUCUCCGAUCUUCUAACUUGACCGUCAGAGAACCGUUUUCUGAAAACAGCUUCGGCGUGGCCGAAUUCACUGUGUCUGUGCUAUAGCUAGGGCAUUGGGCAUUGACUAGUUGAAGUCACCGUGCAGUCGUAGGAUCACCACGAGUGUCUAUCUUCGAUUUUGUUCCUCUCUCCUUCAAACAUCACACCCCCAUAAAAAGCAACAACAACAAUAAUUGUGUCAAAAAUAAAUAUAUUAAAAACAAACUAGUCACCAACUUCCUCCAACUAUAUAUACCUUGCUUAGGCUUCAUACAUAUCUCAUAUUUAACAGAGAUCAGAUACUAAUUGUCAUUAGUUUCACAAAGAUAGAGAAUCAUGGAUUUCUCAUACUGCUAUACCCCUUCUCUUUUUUGUGUUCGUGGGGUUGUUGAAUUUAAGUUGUUGUGAUCCAACAGAUGGUUUCACAAACAUACCAUUGACAGAGGCCAACUUUGAUAAACAACAUACCUAUAACCUUCCUCUUUCCGAUCGUUAUAGCUAUGAAAAUGGAGUGAGAAUGUUGUGGGUUUAUUCUAUUGGUAAGCCUCAUUCCCCCGACAGUCAUAGCCUCAUUCCUCCGACAGUCUGUUGAGGACAUGUGUUAAGAAUAAGUUCCAUAUCGGAUAAUUAAAAAAAUAAUUGGCUCUUACAAGGCUUAAACUUUUAAGUAGAUAUGAGUUUCAAAUAAUGUAUAUUGGGCCAAGAUGAUGUAGAUACAGACCUAUGCUAUUUCUCUCCAAAUAGAUUAGGCCUUACAUGAGCACACGGGCGAACUCCAAUCACAUAUGAGUAUUAGAUAAAGUGACACCUUCUCGUCAAAUAAUAUAAUUACUAACUUAUAAGACAUCAAAUCCGAUACUAUUGUCAAAUAAAUUUUAUCCCAAUGACUUAGUUGUUGGUCCAUUGAUUUUAUAUUUUAUUCAUUUUUUACAAUUGUGUGGUGGUUAAGAUAUACAAAAUGACAAAAAAACUUACUUCCCAAUACGCAAUUCACACUUUUUAAUAUACUUUUACAUAUAUGUAUACACCUUUUAAUACAUUUUUUCUUCCUUAACCAACACCUAAUAAGUGAUGGUUAUCAUUUUCCUUUCUUUAUUAUGUUAAUGAAGGGUUAUAACUAUACUUAUGGUGUCUGGCAAUGUGAAGGGCUACGGCUACGGUUACGUUCCUAAGCCUACCUCUGGUGCAACAAAAGUAGGAAUGGCAAUGGGGUGGGUUCGGGACGGGUUCGUCCUCCCCCACCCCCGCCUUGAUUAAGAUAUUACUCCCCACCCUGUCCCAAACCCUGGCGGGUUGGGACUUCCUUCUCCACUCCCGCCUCAUUUACAGAAACCCUCCCCUGCCCCCGCUCGCCUCGUUUAGUUUAACGAGUUCGGGUUAAUCGGGUUUAUCCCCCAACUCGCCCCCACAAAAAACAACUUUCCUGCUAGUUUUAGAAACCUCAGGGACAGUGUCAACUCAUCAAAUAAUAUGCAGGCAACAUUAACAUAUGCUAUGAAAGAAAAUCAAAAGAAAUAAAAACAAGAGACUCAUCAUAUUGCAACAUAAACACACACUGUCACACACACAAAAAGGGAGGGACAAAGUGUCAUCAAGCCAAACAACCAGAGAAAACACCAUCAAGCAAUUACAAACUUGUGCACCACAGGUCAUUAACAGUUCAACACACACACAAAAAUACAUGUCCAUAGUGGAAGACAAAGACAACAAAAAAGACUAAAGGCAUCAACACAUCUCCAUCCAUCUCAAUAGCAUAAAACACCACAGGUCCAUAGUAGUUCCAGGAGAAUAUUUUUAUAUCAAGCCUACAUGAACUUGUGCCUACAAUAUAAACAAAGAAAGUUAUAGUUUAUAUAAAUACUUUAAAACAAUGAUAAAAUUCUUUAAUAACUACUUACCUUAGUGAGAACAAAUUGGUUUAAUAUAACUCUACACCGAAUCAUAGUCAUCUUCAAUUAUAAAUGUACAACUUGAUACAUUUGUUGAACAAAUACCUAAACAAGUGAUAUAUAAUUUCAUUAUGUAUCUAUGUGUAUUAAAAAAUCAAACAAAUAAAAUAACUUUACAUGUUUAAAUUAUUACCUUUAAUUUCGUUGCGCAAUCAGUUUUGUGCACACAUCAAAGCUUCCAAAAAUUAUAUCUAUAUUUUGUAAUCAGACAACAUAUGGAAAUUAAAGUAAAAAAAAAAAAAUUAUAACGAGUUAAAAUUUAAUUAGACAACAUUUUAUAAUCAGACAACAUAUUAUUUUUUUCAGAUCGUUAGUAUAAUCAUAUGGUAUCACCAAAAAAAAAGCAUAGAUCUGAACUUAAUAUAAUAAAUCUAACAAGUUAACAUUUAAUUAACACACAAAAAAUAAGGAAUUCCUUUAUUUCCCAGAAAAUAGAACUCAUGAACUAAAGCAAGAAAAGACAAUAGAGAAAGACUUAACAGUGCUUCAACGAUCGACGAUGGGGACGGAGAACGAUACUUCAACGGUCGAUGAUGGUGACGGAGAACGAUUGCACAAUCGCGUAGACAAAAAGGAGCUUAGGGAGACCCAGUAGAGGAGAGGCGGCAGUUGGGAAAAAAGGUAAUUAACGGAUGAGAAUAGAUAACCCUAAAUGAUAUAUAUAUAUAUAUAAUAGAAUAUAAUAUAGUCUUAUAUAAAAAAGGAUAUUUAUGGUAUAAACAAAAAGAAACAGGGGUAUUUGUCUAUACAUUCCAUAUCGGGUCGUGUCGGGUCAGUUUUAUGUUAAUGGUUGAACCGCGAACCAAUAACCCGCCCCCGCCCCAAACCCGAUUGGGGUUUUCAUUUUUCUUCCACCCCCGCCCCGAACCCAUUUAUUCAGAUCCCAAACUCGCCCUAUUAGGGUCGGGUCGGGGCCUCGAUUAUUUUGGGGGAAUUGCCAUCCCUAGACAAUAGCACAAAUUCAUGGGGCAACUCAUGAUUCUUCUACCAUAAUACUAAGGAUAUAUGAUGGAGACAUGAGGUACUACAGCGGUGAUCUUAUUGAAACCAAUAUGCAUGACCGAUUGUGGGGUAGUAGGUUAGAGAGAUGAUGGAAGGAAAAUAUAGGAUAAACAUUUACGAUGGUCUUGCGACAGCAAUGAGGGUUAGCACCAAUCAGUUGCGUGGCAGUGUACUAGCUGCAGCACCUAAACAGUGAGAUCGGCUUCCAGAGCUAUUUUUAAAAAAUGGCUCUCCGACGGUCAAGUUAGAUGACCAUAGUUAGUGUAUGUAUAUAUAUAUAGAGAGAGAGAGAGAGAGAGAGAGAAUAUAUAUGCUCUUAACAGGUGAAAAUAUUACCCUUGUGAGAAUAUGAGUUUUCCUUAUAUAGCGCAUAGUUCGGCGCGCCAACUAUUGUAUUAGUAGAUAGAUGGCUGACCAAACCAUGCUUCUGCGACUCAGUUGGUAGCAUGUCUUCAUACCGUAGAUGCCAUGUUCCAGGUAUGGGGGUUGUCGGAAAUAACUUCGUCGUGCAAGUCAUCCUCUGUCCCUUGACAAAACUCAGGAUCGCUGCGGAUCAUUGUCUCUCGAUCAAUUCUCAGUACGGUUGGUCUCCCGAGCUUACUGUGUAGCGAUAGCUUGGUUGUGAUACAGAUCCUAUAGUCUUGGAUGAUGUCAAUACUUGGUAAUGUUUCGACCGAGCUCAGACGAGCGUCGUGCCCCUACUUUGCUGCGUGAUGGUUAGCCUGGGGUGGCUAUGACCUCGGUAUGAUCCGAACUUAUAGUUGUCUAUUUUAUUCUCUUACACAGAUGGUUUAGGCUUAAUAUAAUCCAUGACGUGGAAGGAGGAAAGGUGACUGUGUUCAUCAAUGGAGUUCAAAAGUUUGAGACCAACGAUAGAGGUCCGAACGAUGAUUUCCACUUCAAGUGCAGGGUUUACAGCCUAAAGAUAUAAGCCACUUCAUGGAAUCAAGGUGGAGAGACAUCAAGUUAUAUAAGAAGUAGUUUGUCAUGUGAUGAAAGAAAUUGUUGAAGGUCUUGGAUUAUAUAAUUCAGUAAUGAAAUAUUAUUCUCAAAAGUUGUUGUCAAUUUUGAUUUGCAAUUUAUGUCACUACCCUCGAUCGCUAUUGUGUUAUUACGUUUAACUUUUUAUUUUGGUUCAAAUGUCAUAUAAAUAAUAUGUAAAAAUUGAAAGGAAAAAGUUACAUAUUUUAUUUGUUGAUUUUUUAACAUAAAUUUUAAGAUAUUCCAAAAUAAAAUAACGAUAUUUUAAUAUGGAACAAAUGCAGUAUCGUAAAGUUGUUACAGGUCUUCCCUUAGGUUUAUCUCACAGUGUCCAACGUUGCUCAAAUUAGGGUGCCCCAUCAAUGGCACAUCUACAACUCAUGAGAAACCUAUUCGUGUGUCUUGAGAGCAGAAUUGGCUACAAAGCAUGCUAGUUUCGUGCACACAUGCGUUACGUGUUCUUAUUACAUUCGUGAAAUUAAAUUUUUGCAUGUAUUAUGAUAUUUGUAAAACCAAAUUCCAAAAGGAAACUCAACAAUAAUAGAACACCAAAGAAGAAUAAAAAAUGUAAAAUAAAAUUAAAGAUAUCUAUUGACAAAUCUUUUAGAAAGUGUUCGUUUUAGUAACAUUUACUUUUCAUCGAGGAUUAAGCAGCUUAUGUGAUGAAAUACUAUAUGCUAACAUUAAUUUAACAUGUUAAACGUAGUAGUUCUCACAAUAAUUUAUAAAUAAAUAUAAAAAAAUAAAUUAAUUGAUUAUCUUUUAAAUAUUGUGGAUCCCGCAAUAUACUGUUGUGGUCCCACA
rnacentral:lncRNA from 1 species